AAUACAAUAAAAUUUAUUAAAAUAUACAUACCUUCUUCAAGUAUCGGUAACUUCACAUUAUUAUAAGUUAUUUCAUGUCACAUUCCACUUGAACUUCACCAUCUGCACAAACAAAAGUUUUAUCCCUCAAGUAUCUAAUCUCUUUCCCAUUGUAUAUCAUAGCCAAUUCUUGAUUCAUUAGUAUCUAAUUGUACUGUCAUUAUUUGCUUAAAGCAAUAAAUAAUCCAUAAAGACAACAGAAAAGAAAAGGUAAGAAUUUCAUCAAUCACAGCACAAUAAUAAUAUCGUUCUAAAAUAAGUAAAUAUCUGCCAAGAAGAACAAAAUAACUAGCCUUUUGGACUUGUGCCAUCCAUAAAGGAUCCUCUGAAAUUAUAGUUACAAAGUUAUAACAUAAAAAAUUGAAUAAAGGAACCUCUAGUAUCCAAAAAUGAAACUUAAUUGCUUUGCAUAAUUCAGUAAAUACAAAAGGGUAAAAGACUAAACCUUGAUAAAACAAAGAAAUGAUCCAAUCAAGGAACCCCACACUGCUAGAAUAGCGAAAAACCGACAGCUAUAAAUUACCUGCAAGAAACCAAAUUCCAAAUAUUAAGAAAUCACAAGACGUCACCUAUUCCAAAUAUAAUUCACUCUAUAUAUUCAAUUAAUUAAGAUGUCACCUUCUCUACAUUUUUCUAUAUCUCUUCUAAGUUUUCUUCAGAAAUAUGAAGCAUGCUUGAAUCAAUAUCAGACUGAAUAACUGAUGAUGAAACAUGAACUGAAGUAUGGGUGCAACGAACUGAAAUAGUAGAUAAGGCAACUGGAAAAUCAAAACCAGAAAUCUGAAACUGAGGUACUACUCAUUUCACAGUUGAAGCUGAUUUUGACUUCUUCACAUAGAUUUGAGCUUUUAGAUAGAACAGAGCCGCGCUGAACUGAAGAGAACUAGAGAAGAGGGGCUGGAUUGGAAAAUAAAAAUAGGGUUAAGUAACUCAUAUCAGUAUUAUAUGGCUAUAUGCGAAGCUGCGAAGGGUAGGGUAGUAAUAGUAUUAUAAAAUAAGGGUAUAUUUGUCUUUUUAUAUAUCUUAUCGAUUUAUCGAUAAACCGAUAAAUCGAAUGGCCAAAAUCGAAAUCGAAUCGAUAAACCGAUAAGGAAAAUUUUCGAAAUCGAAAUCGAAUCGAUAAACCGAUAAACCAAUCGAAUGGCCAAAAUCGAAAUCGAAUCGAUAAACCGAUAACAAAUAAUCGAUUCGAUUUAUCGAUAAACCGAUUCGAAUGCACACCCCUACUACCAUCCCAGAAUGCAUAAAACUCAGUCACCUCCUGGUGUAUGGGUAAGCAGCCUAUUCAUUCAAAACCAUAAUAUGUUUUCGAGAUUAG
rnacentral:lncRNA from 1 species